CAGUCGCCGCGGUAAUACGUAGGUCCCGAGCGUUGUCCGGAUUUAUUGGGCGUAAAGGGAGUGUAGGCGGUCUUUUAAGUCUGAUGUGAAAGCCCACGGCUCAACCGUGGAGGGUCAUUGGAAACUGGGAGACUUGAGUGCAGAAGAGGAGAGCGGAAUUCCAUGUGUAGCGGUGAAAUGCGUAGAUAUAUGGAGGAACACCAGUGGCGAAGGCGGCUCUCUGGUCUGUAACUGACGCUGAGGCUCGAAAGCGUGGGGAGCAAACAGGAUUAGAUACCCCCGUAGUCCCUGUCUCUUAUAC
rnacentral:rRNA from 1 species